AGAGUUUGAUCCUGGCUCAGGACGAACGCUGGCGGCGCGCUUAACACAUGCAAGUCGUACGGGGCUCUUCGGAGCUCAGUGGCGAACGGGUGCGUAACACGUGAGUGACCUGCCCUUGCGCGGGGGAUAACCCGGGGAAACCCGGGCUAAUACCGCAUGCGCUCAUGGAGGCUUAUGGCUUCUUGAGGAAAGGUGCUGAAAGGCACUGUGCUUGGAGGGGCUCGCGGCGUAUCAGGUAGUUGGUGGGGUAACGGCCUACCAAGCCUAUGACGCGUAGGGGGUCUGAGAGGAUGACCCCCCACAUUGGGACAUGAGAUACGGCCCAGACUCCUACGGGAGGCAGCAGUGGGGAAUCUUGCGCAAUGGCCGAAAGGCUGACGCAGCGACGCCGCGUGCGGGAGGACGCUUUUCGGAGUGUAAACCGCUGUCAGGUGGGACGAAGGUCCCGGGCAGGAAAUGGCCUGGGGAUGACGGUACCACCAGAGGAAGCACCGGC
rnacentral:rRNA from 1 species